ACAAGCGGUGGAGUAUGUGGUUUAAUUCGAUGCAACGCGAAGAACCUUACCUGGUCUUGACAUCCCGGAGACCCUUAGGAAACUAGGGGGUGCUUCCAUCUGGAAGAAUCUGGAGACAGGUGCUGCAUGGCUGUCGUCAGCUCGUGUCGUGAGAUGUUGGGUUAAGUCCCGCAACGAGCGCAACCCUUGCCUUUAGUUGCCAGCAGUUCGGCUGGGCACUCUAAAGGGACUGCCGGUGUUAAACCGGAGGAAGGUGGGGAUGACGUCAAGUCCUCAUGGCCUUUAUGACCAGGGCUACACACGUACUACAAUGGCCGAUACAAAGGGCAGCGACACUGCGAGGUGAAGCCAAUCCCGUAAAAUCGGUCUCAGUCCGGAUUGGAGUCUGCAACUCGACUCCAUGAAGUUGGAAUCGCUAGUAAUCGUGGAUCAGCAUGCCACGGUGAAUACGUUCCCAGGCCUU
rnacentral:rRNA from 1 species